UUUAUUUGACUGUGAUCAUCACUAUUAAUAUUCAUGAAAAUCAAAUUAUUUCAACCAGGAACUGCUCUUCUGUUUUUAUACUUUUUGUUGGACAUAUGUAAGAGUUUUACCUUCCUGUUCACGUGUGCAACACAUGCAUGCCAAGUGUUCAGGAGGUUGAAGAGGGUGUGAGACUCUGUGACGCUGAAAUUGCAGCCAUUUGUGUGGUGUCACUCGGGAGCUGGUGAUCGGCCUCGGGUUUCUGGAAGAAAAGAUAAUGGUAUUAAUCACCGGAUAAUUUCUUCAUUUUCAGCAAACGCCAUUUUUUUUGUUAAAAAUAGUGCCUAAACUGUCCAGUUUUCUCAAAUGUGAUAAUUUAAAAUUAAACACCCACCCACCUGCUUCUUAUCUAUAUAUAUAUAUAUACACACACAUACACACACACAGACACAUGCACAACUGCUCUUACCUUCAAGUAGACUUAAUUACACACACAUACAUACACACACACACCUGCUUCUUUCCUUCAAGAAGACUUAGUUAUUUUAAUAGUUAUUUGUUUAUUUAUUCACUUUACAUGCUGCACACUGCCCCCCUCUAGUUCACCCCUCACCAAUCCUUCCCCAGCACGUUCUCCUCUGAGCAGGAAUGGACCCCACUGGUAUUUACUCCCAUUGCACAUCUAGUCUCUAUGUUCACAUCAUCUGCUACUGAGGACAGACACAGCAGCCUAGAUGGAUAGGGGUGGGGAGGUAGAGGUCAUAUCCAGAAAGAAGCAGAGAGCUGGAGUAAGAGAUGCUCAUGAAUCAAUACGUGUUUCCUUAGCUGAAAAUCAGCCUCAGUGAAAUGGAUCUGAAGAAGCCAUCUCCUGUAGCCGGAGAGCAAACCAAAUGGAAUGAUAGAGACAUCUACUUUUGACCCAAAAAUUGUACUGACCACAAGAAAUGAAAGGGCUGUGUAUAGAACAGAGAGUGAAGAAUGAUCAACCAAAGGUUAGUGCAGAUUCAGACCCACCUCAUGGAUGAGCACCAAUCCCUGACACUAUUAGUGACACUCUGUUAUUCUUGGAGAAAGGAGUGUAGCAUGGCUUCCCUCUGAGAGACUCCAUUAAGCUGCUGACUCAGACAGAAGCAGACAUACACUAGUCAAACCAGGGGUGGAGCUUGGUGACUCUGAUGGAAGAACAGAAUGAGAAGGAUUAUGGCCUCUAAGGUCAUAGCACUCCACAGGCUUUGUCUUCAUGUGUGUACCGAACAACUAGAAUUGGGCUUUCCCAAAAUAUGUUGUCUAUAGAUGGGACAUCUGUGUCUUUAAAAUGCAUUUAUUUAUUUACUCACUUUUCAUCCCAUUAUCGGUACUCCAUCUUCAUGGGAUACCAACACAUAUUGUUGUGGGAACCCGUAAAACGACAGAAUUACACAUUUCCUACCUAUGUCGUGGGGGGUUAGGUUCAGUUCAUGUUCACUCUCUGGUUUGUGGUUCAGUCUUUGGCAAACUUCAAGAGUCCCCGUGACUUGACACUAUUGGUCAUCCUGUGAAGUCCAUCAUAUCAUCUUGGCCUCAUUUCUUCACCUGUUUUUUUUUUUUCAAAAGACUCCCCAAGCUCCAGUUAAUGUUUGGUGGUGAAUCUUUACACUUGUUUCUCUCAGCUGUUGGGUGGAGUCAUUCAGAGAACAGUUAUGCUAGGAAUCUGUCUGCAAGCAUGAUAGAGUAUCUACUACUGUCAGAGAUUGGUUCUUGCCCAUGGGGUAGAUCUCAAUCUGUGCUAACCAUUGGUUGGACCUUCCAUGUCUGCUCUAUCUAUCUUUGUCUAUGGAGGUCUUGUAGGCUGUGUUCAUUUUAGAUUGAAGAUUUUUUGGGUGGGUUUUUUUCCUUGCCACAUUACUGGGAUUCAUGCCUGGCGACAUCCGUGGCCAAUUAAGGAUCUGUAUCACCACUGCUUGAGUCAACCCAAUAGACACCCUGGAGCCUUGCCUUUCCCAGGUCUCUGGCACUUCCUAGAGAUGCACACCCCACACUUGUGAUUUCCAUUCUCUUUUCCCUGCUUUCCCUAUACCUAAUAUCUCCAAUCCCCACUCCCUUCCCUAAUUCCCCUCUCAUUCAGUUUCCUCCCUCCCUCUAUCCUCCUCAAUAUCUAUUCUUCUAAAUGCAUGUUAAAGUCAAAGUUUAGGAAUAAACACUGAGGAAGUAUAGGAAGUAUUUCAUAAGUAAUUGUGGUUGAUGUUUUGGCAAGAUAUGAACAUAUUAAAUUUUACAGAUGUCAAAAUUACUACAUAUAAUUUUAGAAGAGACACUGUCUUCAUUAUAUUCAACAUGAAGGAAAACCAUUUAUAUAUUCUUUUAAGAUAUACUAGGGAAUCUAUUAAAUUAGGUACACACAUCACACAACUUUAUUACUUUUAAAGCUCUCUUUAUUGCAAAUAUUUAAACAAUGAAAAGUACAAUGGCUUAAACUCAUGUGAGUGUACUUUGUUUCAAAGUUAUAGUUUAGAUAUACAGGUUGAUGACAACAGUCAUCUCAGACUCACAGGGGAGUUCUCUAUUACCUUACCUGUCUUCUUUCGUUUAUUCCUGAUGAAGACUCAUCUCAUUUACAGCCCCUACUGUGAGAAAUGGAUCAGAAAAUGCUUGAGAGUCUACAACCCAGGAUCCAUCUAUAGGAAAGAAGAAAAAGAAGAUCUCCAAAUAGUAAACACAGUCAAAACUUUCUUAUAGAUCUUAACACUUGAAAAAAAUGCAAAGAGAAAACCCAUUUCCUAGGAUAUUACAAUAUACAGGAAAUGGUAGCUGUAGGAAGAAUUACCAGGGGAUUUUAAUCUUCUGCACCUAAGAAUGAAAUUGCCUACAUGAAGGUGAAGAUUUAUUUCUUUGGCAAGAAAGUCAGUUUGUCUCUUGACGGUUGUACCGUCUGUCCAUCACUAGAGCAACAGCCAUGCUUUAUGAAUGUGAACAGAAAAACACAUACCAGUUUUCUCUUCUUCAAAGAAUUUCAAAAAGAAUCUGUAAGAUAAUAUAUAAUGACCCAGAGAUGAAAUAUGGGAAUUUAAAUUAGCCAGCAUAAAUAUGUUGUUAAAAUUUUCUGCCUUCUAUUAAUAAUUUUAACUUUUCCUGCUAUGAAUAAAAAGACGGUUAUGUAAUGUCUACCAAUCCCCAAAGCCUGAAACAUUGUGGAAAAGUGUCUUAUUUCUCCCUAACUGGUCUUUGGUCACCAUACUUUUCAUUCCCCAUCUAAAUUCUCUGUUUCUCAAGUUCAUAAGAGGACUAUGUGAGGAUGUCACUCUCAUGUAGAAGACCAAGGAACUCUUUGUAAUUGCAUGCAUUUGCUCUUAGGAGCAUGCAAAUAAAUCUUUCAAUUCCAAGAACAAAAACAUGGCCGUCCAAUUGGACCCACAUGAUACAAAAUCUUUCUUUUUGCUGACAAUGAACUUUAGCAAACUGGUAACAAUGCAGAUAACAAUAUAAUGGAAUAAUCCUGUAAUAAUAAUUAUUAUUAAUAAUAAUAAUGGAAUAAUCCCUUCGAGGGAUCACAGAAUAAGGAUAGUAAAUGUUGAGAUGUGUUUUUCAAGUGAUAUUGUAUCCAAGCAAGCAAGUUUCAAUAGGACAGACUCCUCACACAUGAAAAUCAUGCAACCUGUCAUGACUUCACAGAGAGAGUUGAGAACCAGAGUGGUCUUUUAGCAUAAGAGAAAGAUUCGCCAACCUUCUAAAAAGAUAAGCAAUCCAGACAGUCUGUUUGAGGAUGGUUAGCUUGUGCAUGACGAACACAGACAAACACACACACACACACACACACACACACAUAUGUACACACACUCAGAUACACAGAGACACACACAAAGAGACAUACACAGUUAGACAAACAGACAUACACACAGAGACACAGACAGAACGACACAAACACACAGACACACAUACACAUACACAAACACACAGACACACACUCGCAUACACACAGAGAGACACAUAAACACAUACAGACACACAAACAGACACAUACACACAUACACACACAUAUACAAAAACACAGACACAGAUGACAACCAAUAUACAGAUACACACACACACACAAACACACAUACACAUACACACACACACACACACACACACACACACACAAACAUGCCCUCAUCUCUUGUCUCCUUCCUCGAAUGUCCAGGUGCACAACAGGUGUGAAAGGAUUGAGUGGAACCAGGAACCAGUCAGUCAGCAGAAUAUUGUUCUGCCUGCAAAUUAAUUUUGGUGUCUUCCAAGGAUUUCAGCGUCACAGCUCUGUUAGAAGAAGAACUAGAAAUGGCGUCUCAGUAUGGCUUCGCUUUGCAUUUCCUAUGGCUCAGGAUCCUGCAUACCUUUUCAUGUGCUUAAAAUCGACUCCACGGAAUGUGUCUCAUCAUUAACCCUGACGUCCUACUUGCUCAAUUUCAAAGGAUUGCAGAUGGUGAACCAAGGUGAUGAUCAAGAAUCCAUUAGCAAUCCUUAGAGUUGAGCGAAAGUUUUAUUUUCUAAGUAAGAGGACACCGGCUCCAUGUUAAGUCAUGUGGUAACUUAAGGGCGGAAAAUCAAACAAAGAAAUGGAGAAGCUGCCUGGGCUGACAUGCUGUCGGUCCCCUGCUGUGUAAUAAGUAAGUGCAGGUC